UACGAAGGGUGCUAGCGUUGUUCGGAAUUACUGGGCGUAAAGCGCACGUAGGCGGACAUUUAAGUCAGGGGUGAAAUCCCAGAGCUCAACUCUGGAACUGCCUUUGAUACUGGGUGUCUUGAGUAUGGAAGAGGUGAGUGGAAUUCCGAGUGUAGAGGUGAAAUUCGUAGAUAUUCGGAGGAACACCAGUGGCGAAGGCGGCUCACUGGUCCAUUACUGACGCUGAGGUGCGAAAGCGUGGGGAGCAAACAGG
rnacentral:rRNA from 1 species